rnacentral:rRNA from 1 species
UACGUAGGGUGCGAGCGUUAAUCGGAAUUACUGGGCGUAAAGCGUGCGCAGGCGGUCUGUUAAGACCGAUGUGAAAUCCCCGGGCUUAACCUGGGAACUGCAUUGGUGACUGGCAGGCUUUGAGUGUGGCAGAGGGAGGUAGAAUUCCACGUGUAGCAGUGAAAUGCGUAGAGAUGUGGAGGAAUACCGAUGGCGAAGGCAGCCUCCUGGGCCAACACUGACGCUCAUGCACGAAAGCGUGGGAGCAAACGGG